rnacentral:rRNA from 1 species
CCCUUAGAUGUCCGGGGCCGCACGCGCGCUACACUGAAGGAAUCAGCGUGGCUUUCUCCCUGACCCGAAAGGGUUGGGAAACCCGUUGAAUCUCCUUCGUGAUAGGGAUUGGGGCUUGAAAUUGUUCCCCAUGAACGAGGAAUUCCCAGUAAGCGCGAGUCAUAAGCUCGCGUUGAUUACGUCCCUGCCCUUUGUACACACCGCCCGUCGCUACUACCAAUGGAACGGUUUAGUGAGGGCCUCGGAUUGGUCUCGGCCCGCUCUUUACCGGGCGGCGCCGUUGGUCGAGAAGACGCUCGAACUUGAUCGUUUAGAGGAAGUAAAAGUCGUAACA